ACAAGGAUAUUCAGAAGGAAACGUGCAUAAUAUAAUCAUUAAAGUUGAUGACUCGCGUAUUUGAACAUCAAUCAUGAAAGGACUUAUCGUCGUAAAGCAGGAUACUUCAGUAAACUUUGUAUGCACUUAUUUAGUUUCAUUGCGUCUCAUUCUAGUAUAAAAGUUGAAGAAAAACGGCGGAGUGUUUCAAAGUCUCUCAUACAGCGACAGAUUUUCUUAAACCAAAAAGAAGAAUGCAGGUUUAUGUUUGUUUAGUCGUCUGUCUGUUGUUAGUGUCAGAUGGAGUCAACAUGGCAGAAGAAGACAUGCUGGAAGAUAAUUUUCUGAAUCACGCUCUAAGACUUGUAAAAAGACAUACGCCUAUAGAUCUACCACUUCGUCGUUGCUGUGGGUGUGGUAUGCAUGUGGAAUGCAAUAACUAUUGAAUUCAGCUAUUCAUUAUUUACCGGUCCUAGCAAUCCUAACAGAAACAGGGAAACAUUGUCAAUUUAAACAUGUUAAAUAUAGGACUAUCAUAAUAUGAAUAUCAGUUAAAAUGUGAUAUCUGAA